AGAUUGAACGCUGGCGGCAUGCUUUACACAUGCAAGUCGAACGGUAACAGGCCGCAAGGUGCUGACGAGUGGCGAACGGGUGAGUAAUGCAUCGGAACGUGCCCAGUCGGUGGGGGAUAACGCAGCGAAAGCUGUGCUAAUACCGCAUACGAUCUAUGGAUGAAAGCGGGGGACCGAAGGCCUCGCGCGAUUGGAGCGGCCGAUGUCAGAUUAGCUAGGUUGGUAGGGGUAAAGCCCAACCGAAGGCGACGAUCGUGUAGCGUGGUCUGGAGACGGACGACCAGCCCACACGUAGGAACUAGACGACCACGGUCCACGACC
rnacentral:rRNA from 1 species